rnacentral:rRNA from 1 species
UACGGGGGGAGCAAGCGUUGUUCGGAUUUACUGGGCGUAAAGGGCGCGUAGGCGGCGUGACUAGUCACUUGUGAAAUCUCCGGGCUUAACUCGGAACGGUCAAGUGAUACUGUCGUGCUAGAGUACAGAAGGGGCAACUGGAAUUCUCGGUGUAGCGGUGAAAUGCGUAGAUAUCGAGAGGAACACCUGCGGCGAAGGCGGGUUGCUGGGCUGAUACUGACGCUGAUGCGCGAAAGCCAGGGGAGCGAGCGGG